AUCGAUAUAUGGUCAAAGAAAUUACGAACUAUCCGAAUUGUUUCAAAAAUUCUACACUUCUCCUUACAUAUGGGGCACAAAAACUCCAGAAGAAAAAGAUAAACUUUACAAAAAGGUACUAGCGCACAAGACCUUAACAGACAAAAUGAUUUCCUCAUCAAAUGGGAAACUCGUCAUUCCAAAUGUGAAGCGUCUAGCUCGUAAGCCAGGUCAACGGCAUAGACCAAAAAGUGCAGCUGCAAGAACAAUGC
rnacentral:lncRNA from 1 species